rnacentral:rRNA from 1 species
AUUGAACGCUGGCGGCAGGCCUAACACAUGCAAGUCGAGCGGAUGAAGGGAGCUUGCUCCUGGAUUCAGCGGCGGACGGGUGAGUAAUGCCUAGGAAUCUGCCUGGUAGUGGGGGAUAACGUCCGGAAACGGGCGCUAAUACCGCAUACGUCCUAAGGGAGAAAGUGGGGGAUCUUCGGACCUCACGCUAUCAGAUGAGCCUAGGUCGGAUUAGCUAGUUGGUGGGGUAAAGGCCUACCAAGGCGACGAUCCGUAACUGGUCUGAGAGGAUGAUCAGUCACACUGGAACUGAGACACGGUCCAGACUCCUACGGGAGGCAGCAGUGGGGAAUAUUGACAAUGGGCGAAAGCCUGAUCCAGCCAUGCCGCGUGUGUGAAGAAGGUCUUCGGAUUGUAAAGCACUUUAAGUUGGGAGGAAGGGCAGUAAGUUAAUACCUUGCUGUUUUGACGUUACCAACAGAAUAAGCACCGGCUAACUUCGUG